CUCGUCACUCUCCACAGCUCAUCAACAGCUCAGCAGUGGAGGGGGAGGCUGCAGCACCUCCGACUUGAAGAAUAUGAGGAGAGUGGUGAGGACAUCAGAGAGGAUCAUCGGGGCUCCUUUUCCCUCCAGUGACGGCAUUUGACUGGUGGGCGGGGCGUGCACACCUGCAGCGUGUUCUGCAGCACAAUAAGAUCUGCGCUUGGACAGCGGGAGGACGCUAGAGUAUUAACCGUUGUCGGUAUGCUUAGACGGCCUUAUUCCUCUGACUAAUUUUUGACCUUUUCUAAGAAGCUCCUUUUGUGUAUCUCAGGUUCGCCCUCGUGUCCCGUGGGUUCAGGUGUGGUGAGAUCGCCCUCUAGAUCUGGGAUGAUCUAGUCUCAUUGGUUAACUUUCACUGUUGGCUGUUGGACGACCUCUAUCCAGCCUACCUGGCCUCACCUGCUCAACGACGCCCAUCGGAUCAGUCUGGUUCCUCCCGCUGCCUGUGUUUUCGCCAGUGCUGCUCGGACCCUGCCUCGUGCUUACGCCCCCCGAUCAUCUGUCCGCACCACUCCAUCUGGAGCUGAGUCCGUUGCGCUUCCCCCUCCGUUCCGGCUUCCGAGUCUAAGUGAUCGUUCGUGCUCCCGUCCGAGUCUCUCUCCCCGUGAUCACUCCAUUGUGAACCCUUUCUCGUUCUGCGAUUACUUUCCCGAACAUUUUCCCUGCUGUUAUUUCAAUAAACUCUGUAAAACUAC